GUUAGUGCUCACUAACAUUUGGAAAAUUGGAACAAUACAGUGAAAAUUAGCAUGCCCAAGGAUGACAUGCAAAUUUGUGAAACAUUCCUUCCUUAA
rnacentral:snRNA from 1 species